rnacentral:rRNA from 1 species
GCUAGCAGCCAUACCACCUGCAGUUUCAGACUGGGUAUUCCAUCUGAAGCUAAACAGGUUUGGGUCUGGCCAGUACAUACUGUAAAUGGCAGACUAACUGGGAAAGCUGGGCUGCAGCUGGAA